GACGAACGCUGGCGGCGUGCUUAACACAUGCAAGUCGAACGGAAAGGCUCCAGCUUGCUGGCGUAAUCGAGUGGCGAACGGGUGAGUAACACGUGGGUAAUCUGCCCUGCACUUUGGGAUAAGCCUGGGAAACUGGGUCUAAUAAUGGAUAUGAACUUUCUUCUUAUGGGGUUUGGUGGAAAGUUUUUCGGUGUAGGUUGGGCGCGCGGCUUAUCUGCUUGUUGGUUGGGUGAUGGCCUACCAAGGCGACGACGGGUAGCCGGCCUGAGAGGGUGAACGGCCACAUGGGGACUGAGGUAGGGCGCAGACGCCUACGGGAGGCAGCAGUGGAGAAUAUUACACAAUGGGCGGAAGCCAGUUGCAGCGGCGCCGCGUGAGGGAUGACGGGCUUCGGGUUAUAAACGUUUUUCAGCAAAGACGAAGCGUAAGUGACGGUACCUGCAGAAGAAGCACCGGCUAACUAGGUG
rnacentral:rRNA from 1 species